GGAGGUUGAGAUAUUUGAGGAUUUUGGAAAACGUAGGAGGGAAACAUUGCACUAGUACUAAAAAUUUAAGGCACAACCUUGGCUGGAUGUAGUAGGUCCCACCUAUCCUGUUGAUUUCAUAGUUUUUUGCACUAGGAGUUGCCAUGGAUGGAGCCGCUGUUUUGGGGGCAAGUGGGGAGGAGGUUGAGAUAUUUGAGGAUUUGGAAAAACGUAGGAGGGAAACAUUGCACUAGUACUAAAAAUUUGAGGCACAACCUUGGCGGGAUGUAGUGGGUUGCACCUGUCCUUUUGAUUUCAUAGUUUUUUGCACUCACGUUUGGUUUCAACAAACCUAUCUACAAUUUGCACUCAUGUUUGGUUUGAACAAACCUAUCUAUAAUUUUAUCUAUAUUUGUGCAGUUAUUAUUCAUGAAUGUAGGUUGGAGAAAGCAUGUCUUAUCUAGAGAGAGUAGUCCUCGCACAUAAAGAUAAUCGUACACAUCAUAAUCCUACAAAUGAUAAAAAAUAAGAAGUUGCAAAACAAACGCAAAAGAUAACGAUAAUUCAUAGCUGCAUAUCGAUAUACAAAGACUGAAUUAGUCAACUAUUCUCCGUUCGAACGCAGCAAGCUCAUGGCGUAGCCUGCAGUCCUCGCUGCAAAACAGCGUAUCUUCUCCCCAGCUAUUAGGGA
rnacentral:lncRNA from 1 species